AUGCUUUAUUUGAUUCUCUUUGUUGGAACGUUCGUCCUGUCCUCGGGGCAAUUCACGACUAGCCCAUCGUUUACAACAUCAACCACAAGUUCCAUAACCUUAACUGCUAACCCGUUGUUGGCACCGUCAACCACAACACCUACAACCACAACUACUGCCCCUGGGGAUACAACUACUGCCCCUGAGGAUACAACUACUGCCCCAUGGGAUACAACUACUGCCCCAUGGGAUACAACUACUGCCCCAUGGGAUACAACUACUGCCCCUGAGGAAAUAACAACCACAACUGUUAUCGCGGAUUUUACAACAACACCCACAGCUGGUGUCCCAGAGGAUUCAACAACACCCACAGCCGUUCAACCAACAACAAUUCCUACAGCAAACCUGACCACGUUUGCACAUGCAAUGGUGAAUUUAUCCAGCUACGAAAAUCUGGAUAGCGAUGCAAUCGUUUCAAACAUUGAGGAGUUCUUGAAGCAAAUAAGCAAUAAUGCCCUUGGACCUCUGAAGAUAACAGUGAACCGUUUCACAAAAUGUAGCGGCGCCCAGUGUGGAGACCAGCAACCCUCUACUACCCCUCAACCCACCACUGGCCCUCAAACCUCCCCUGACACUCAACCCUCUACUACCCCUGAACUCUUCGUUGACACUCAACCCACCACUGGCCCUCAAACCUCCCCUGACACUCAACCCUCUACUACCCCUGAACUCUUCGUUGACACUCAACCCUCUACUACCCCUCAAUUCUUCCCUGACACUCAAACCUCCACUGGCCCUCAACCCACAUUUACAUAG
rnacentral:lncRNA from 13 species